rnacentral:rRNA from 1 species
AGCGAACGCUGGCGGCAGGCCUAACACAUGCAAGUCGAGCGGGCGUAGCAAUACGUCAGCGGCAGACGGGAGAGUAACACGUGGGAACGUGCCCUUUGGUUCGGAAUAACUCAGGGAAACUUGAGCUAAUACCGGAUAAGCCCUUCGGGGGAAAGAUUAAUUGCAAUUGGGCGGGCCCGGGUCGGAUUACCUAGUUGGUGAGGUAAUGGCUCACCAAGGCGACGAUCCGUAGCUGGUCUGAGAGGAUGACCAGCCUCACUGGGACUGAGACACGGCCCAGACUCCUACGGGAGGCAGCAGUGGGGAAUAUUGGACAAUGGGCGCAAGCCUGAUCCAGCCAUGCCGCGUGGAUGAUGAAGGCCCUAGGGUUGUAAAGUCCUUUUAACGGGGAAGAUAAUGACGGUACCCGUAGAAUAAGCCCCGGCUAACUUCGUGCCAGCCGCCGCGGUAA